rnacentral:rRNA from 1 species
AACGAACGCUGGCGGCAUGCCUAACACAUGCAAGUCGAACGAGACCUUCGGGUCUAGUGGCGCACGGGUGCGUAACGCGUGGGAAUCUGCCCUGGGGUGCGGAAUAACUCGGAGAAAUCCGUGCUAAUACCGCAUAAUUUCUUCGGACCAAAGAUUUAUCGCCCUGGGAUGAGCCCGCGUAGGAUUAGCUAGUUGGUGGGGUAAAGGCCUACCAAGGCGACGAUCCUUAGCUGGUCUGAGAGGAUGAUCAGCCACACUGGGACUGAGACACGGCCCAGACUCCUACGGGAGGCAGCAGUGGGGAAUAUUGGACAAUGGGCGAAAGCCUGAUCCAGCAAUGCCGCGUGAGUGAUGAAGGCCUUCGGGUUGGUUAAAGACACUUUAAAGUCGGGGAGGGAAGGACGGCAGUCAGUUAAUAACCUGGUUGCGUUGACGUUA